rnacentral:rRNA from 1 species
GUGGGGAAUUUUGGACAAUGGGCGAAAGCCUGAUCCAGCCAUGCCGCGUGCAGGAUGAAGGCCUUCGGGUUGUAAACUGCUUUUGUACGGAACGAAAAGACUCUGGUUAAUACCUGGGGUCCAUGACGGUACCGUAAGAAUAAGCACCGGCUAACUACGUGCCAGCAGCCGCGGUAAUACGUAGGGUGCGAGCGUUAAUCGGAAUUACUGGGCGUAAAGCGUGCGCAGGCGGUUAUGUAAGACAGAUGUGAAAUCCCCGGGCUCAACCUGGGAACUGCAUUUGUGACUGCAUAGCUAGAGUACGGCAGAGGGGGAUGGAAUUCCGCGUGUAGCAGUGAAAUGCGUAGAUAUGCGGAGGAACACCGAUGGCGAAGGCAAUCCCCUGGGCCUGUACUGACGCUCAUGCACGAAAGCGUGGGGAGCAAACAGGAUUAGAAACCCUAGUAGUCC